rnacentral:lncRNA from 1 species
CCCUUCUCCAGUUUCAUUGGGCACUGGAACCUUGCAAGAUAUGAAAUUCCGGGACACAACCCCUCCUCCCUCAGCACACUUCCUGUCCCUGAGCCUUGAGAGGUGGCUUUGAGCUAAAGGUAUCGUGAGGCUUGAGAACUGAGGCAGGAGUGAGGGAGCGGGGAGUCACACCACAAGGAGAGAUGGCCAGCGGAGUACAAUGCCACACCAGAGGGGAACGGAACCAAACGCUGAAGGGACCUUCUCAAGAUCACUGAAGAGCAGAAUCGCAACUAGAAAGGGUACUUAUUCUUAAGAUCAAGAAGCGUGAAGUCAAUUAUUUCUGUCCUUUGUGGUAAAUGUACACCUUGGACAAUGCCAGCAUCAACUGGAACACUAAGGAUCUUCCCUAUAUAUUCUCGUCUGAGGGAUUGGUAAUGAGAUAUGGACUUGUUUAGAUUCUCCUGAGUAAAUUACUGGAAGUCAGUAGCAUCUGAAGGUUGAGGUCAUCACAGAGUCAUCCUUAACUGUCAGUGCAGUUCCCAGCUGAGAAAGGCCUAAAUCAGGAACCAGCACCUCCUGUGGCAUCUAGACAAUCAACUAAAUCAAGCCCUGAUUCACAGCAUUUGCAGCAUUCUAUGGUAUAAAUAAUCCCACUACGAUCAAUUCUGAGCUCCCAAAUGUGCCAUCACUUAGCAGGAAGUUGGGAAGAG